GCCAGGCGUAGCAGCGCACGCCUGUAGUCCCAGCUACUUGGGAGGCUGAGGCAGGAGAAUCACUUGAACCCAGGAGGGUGGAGGUUGCAGUGAGCUGAGAUCGUGCCACUGCACUCCAGCCUGGGUGACAGAGCGAGACUCUGUUUCAA
rnacentral:SRP_RNA from 1 species